AUUGAACGCUGGCGGCAGGCUUAACACAUGCAAGUCGAACGAGUGGCGGACGGGUGAGUAAUGCUUGGGAAUCUAGCUUAUGGAGGGGGAUAACUACGGGAAACUGUAGCUAAUACUGCGUACCAUAGGAUGAGCGCAAGUGGGAUUAGGUAGUUUGUGAGGUAAAGGCUCACCAAGCCGACGAUCUCUAGCUGGUCUGAGAGGAUGACCAGGCACACUGGGAUGGAGACACGGCCCAGCCUAAACCGGGAGGCGACAGUGGGGUAUAGUGCGCUAGGGGAGCAACCGUACAUAGCCCAGCCGAGUGAAUUAAAAAAGGCAUCGGGUUGUAAAGGUAUUUCUGUAGCAUAGCGUUAAUUACUGAAUAAGCACCGGCUAACUCCGUGCCAGCAGCCGCGGUAAUAC
rnacentral:rRNA from 1 species